rnacentral:lncRNA from 1 species
UCAUUUGAUAGGUAAAUGAUUCCGAAAAAUUAUAAAAUUUAGUUUCUAAAUACUUUCAAUAGUAUAGAUCAAGUCUAACGGAGCCGAUAGUCGAUUUGGAAGCGGCAUCAUUAAAAACAACUUGGUAGCAUUGAGACGUCCGUACUACCGAUAGUAUAGCAGCCUAGCUAUAUAUAUAUAUAUAUAUAUAUAUAUAUUUAUAUAUAUAAUUAGGCUGGAAUACCAAUUUGUGGUCUGAUUCUCCGACCUUACCCUCCGCGCACCACCUUUUUUGAUCCUUUCUCCUUUUUUCCUCUUUUUUCUUUUCUUUUCGUCUUUUUCCUGUUUUCUUCUUUUUCUUGUUUUGUUUCUCUUCUUGGUUUUCUUCUGCCCCGAAAGCCCUAGCUGCUUCCAUACUGUUCGCCUAGUUCACUUAUCAAUGAAUGAAGUAGGUAGCUAGUCUACCUCUUUCUCAAAAAAAAAAAAGACUGGAAUACUAUUAAUAGCAUAAAGCUAUUGGUGCUAUUAGUUGUUUAGCCUUUGGAUUGGGAAAUGUGUGGUUAGAAUGAUGUGAGCCCACCCUCCAUGGUUGAGUGAGUGAUUGUUGAAUAGUAUAAUCUAACAAGUAAAAAUAAUCAAAGAGUACCGACCGUCUCUACAGCAAGUGGCAAAGUGCUUGGUGGUUGGUAGCCGAAACCCAAGUUCGAAUCCUAGUUGAUUCAUAUUUUCAGCUAAAUUUAUUUCUAAAUGAAAUAAACGAAGCGAGUAGCAUGCUACCUAUCUCAAAAAAAAAAAAUCACUAAAUUUUUUGUGCUAUCGAUAGUAUUCCGGUCGGUAUAUAUAUAUAUAGAAUUAUGCUACUAUACUAUCAAUAGUACCAAGUCCCUGGUACUAUUUAGUUUUUGGUCGUUGAAUAAAAGAAUGUGCGGUUAGGAUGAUAGUGAUCCCCGGUUAAAUUAAUAGUAGUCCUCAAGGGUUGAGUGGGUGGUUGGUUUAAUAGUAUUAUCUAAUGGAUGGAAAUGAUCAAAGGGUAAAUCUAACGGUAGAAAACUUAAUAGUACCAAAGACUUGGUACAAUCAAUAGUAUAAUAGCUGGACUCUACAUAUAUAUAUAUAUUUAUAUGAGUGGAGACAGAGAGAUU